rnacentral:misc_RNA from 1 species
GAAAGAACGCAGCGAAAUGCGAUAAGUAGUGUGAAUUGCAGAAUUCAGUGAAUCAUCGAAUCUUUGAACGCACAUUGCGCCCCUUGGUAUUCCAUGGGGCAUGCCUGUUCGAGCGUCAUUUGUACCUUCAAGCUCUGCUUGGUGUUGGGUGAUUGUCUAUCUUUUUAGACUCGCCUUAAAGUCAUUGGCAGCCGGCAUAUUGGCCUGGGAGCGCAGCACAAGUCGCGCUUCUUGUCAUGAAUGUUGGCGUCCAGUAAGUCUACAUAUUUUGCUCUUGACCUCGGAUCAGGUAGGGAUACCCGCUGAACUUAAGCAUAUCAAUAAGCGGAGGA